rnacentral:rRNA from 1 species
UACGAAGGGGGGCUAGCGUUGCUCGGAAUCACUGGGCGUAAAGGGCGCGUAGGCGGCCGGCCAAGUCGGGGGUGAAAGCCUGUGGCUCAACCACAGAAUGGCCCUCGAUACUGGACGGCUCGAGACCGGAAGAGGUUGGUGGAAUUGCGAGUGUAGAGGUGAAAUUCGUAGAUAUUCGCAAGAACACCGGGUGGCGAAGGCGGCCAACUGGUCCGGAUCUGACG